ACAGGCAGAGGGAGGAUACAGAACAUCCUAGUCUUUUCUGAGGCACCCCGGUCCUCUCCCAGGCUGGCUUUGGGACGGCUGGAGAGAUUAAUUUUUUUACAACAUGAGUCCUGAAGGUUAGACAGUCCUGCGAUACAUAAAAUCAUCUUUUGCCACCCUCUAUGAUGAUACCAAUCCCGACUUUGGCCAACACUGACUCUCAACAACAGACUGGCAAUCUGGGCAUUUGCCUGUCUCUGAGAGAAGGAAUGGGACAGGCAUAUGUGGCUUCCUGCCCUGCACUUCCCCUGCACCCAAGCCACACAUGUGGGGCCCUUUCCCAUCCUCAAACCCCUCUGUAUGCACGUUCAGCCACCUCUUCUCAGGGUCACUUCUCACCAUCUGCAAGUCUCCUGGGAGCUAAGCACAGCCCUUUCUGGGUCUACUUCUAUCAGGAAACCUUCAGGAACCCCCGAGAGUGGUUUUUUUUUCUUGUUGUUUUUGGAGACAGAGUCAGAGGCAGUGAUGGGGUCAGGAGGCCUGGUGAACUGUCUCCUCAUGUCUGAAGAUUUGGCCUCUGUCGCUCCCGACCCAGAUCAGGCUGGGCCUGAUACCUGAGGGCAGCAGCUCCGCCUUCACCACGCUGAUCUCCACCUUCUUCCGGCUCAGGCUCACCAGCUUGUCACCUCCAUAGAUGAUUGCCGGGACCAGGAAGUAGAUGUGGAAAGUGGGCAGCUGGAUCAGAGCAUAGCUGCCGUGGAUGAUGAGCUGGAGACACGGCCAGUUAGUACAACUCAGGCCCAGCCAGGCCCCUGCCCGGCAUCCCCUCUUGCCCAGGCACUAGGCCUGUGCUGGGGAGAUAGGGCUGAGGUCUGGGGUCUUAAAUCUCAAAGUCUCAUUCUGAGAUCUUGGAUCCAAUUCUCCCUCUUUCACCUUCCUGUCCCAUCCUGAGCUCCCUGCUCCAUGGGCUGGCCCAGGGAAGUCCCUCACCAGGGCAUAGAGCAGGAUGUAGAGGUGGUGGGUCAGCCAGAAGCCCCGGAAGCUGCGGCGGCGGAAGUGGUGGGAGGCGAAGACAUACAUGAUGGCCAGGACCAGGAGCAGAAGCACACCUGUCAUACCUGGGGGCAGGAGGACAGGGCCAGUGAGUAGUCUCAGGACUUCAGCUUGGGCUGAAAAGACAACAGCACAUUCCCCUAUGCUUCCCUCCUUCCUCUCUCAUCCCUCCAGGGCCCCCAGAAAAGCCUGCCUGGAGGGAUUG
rnacentral:lncRNA from 1 species